rnacentral:rRNA from 1 species
GCCAGCAGCCAUAUCACCCUGGAGCCCAAGACCGGUUGCCCACUGAAGCUAAGCAGGGCUGAGCCUGGGCAGUACCUGGAUGGGAGACCUCCUGGGAAAACUAGGUUGCUGCUGGAA